rnacentral:lncRNA from 1 species
GUCACUGGCUGUGGGCCACACUCAGGCUCCCAUCCCAAAUUAUGGAAGUACUGGGCAUCUUUGAAGACCAGCUCAAAUGCCACCAGCUCCAAAAAGCAUUGUUGGAUUCACCCAGCUCAGAGGAUUGCUGUCUCCUCUGUGCCCUCUGAGCACUUAGUCUUCACUCUAACAUAUACUCCACCUUGAGUUAUGGUCAUUGGAGUGUAUGUCUGGUCCCCUGUGAGAUUAAGCUGCUGGAGGACAACAGCUCUUCCUCGUCCAUCUUUGCAUAACUCUGCACCCAGAAAAGAAUCAAUGCUCAAUGUUUGAUGCAUUAAGUUGAAGAGAAUCUAAUUGGAAAGCCGGGGGUCUAUUUUUGUCAUUCUGAAAAGCUCCUCAGUUCCAGCUACUAUUAUUUAGUGAAAAUGGGGAGAUUUCUGUGCAUUUGUAGACACGAAUUGGAAGACCAUCAGAGAAGUGAUUCAGAAGAGGCUUGCCUUACAUCCUGUCUCCUUUUGUGCAACUUAGUACUUAGGAGGAACAGUGAGUGCUCAUCUGUGCUUCAGUCCCAUCAUUGUCACAGCUUCUCAUUUUCAGUAUAGCCUCACAAACUCAUGCCUAUGUUGGUCAUGAGUGGCUUUGGUAGGAUGGGGAAUUUUUAUUCAGCAUCCAUAUUGUCUUGUCCUCCUUCCACCUCCAACCCCCCAAAAAAGGGCCCGAGGAAGCAGUUGUGGGACAAUAAUUAUGAUAAUCGUAAUAAUAGCCAACACUUCAUGACACUUUCUCCAAGUCAGGCACAGUUCUGAGUGCUCUACUCAUGAAUCUAUGGACUAGGCACUAUUGAUACCCUGUUUUAUAGGUCAAGAUACCAAGGCAGCUUGAUCAAAGUCACCCAGCUGGCAGGAACAGAGCUAGGACUCUGGCCUUGAAGUUAGAGAUCCGGUUUGAAUCUCGGCUUGUUACUUACUAGUUCUGAGAAGUUAUGCAAGUUACUUAACUCUCUGAGCCUUGAUUUCCUCAUCUGUAAAAUGGGGAUAAUCAUCUCCUCUUUGAGAUAUAUAGAGAUUAAAUGAGAUAACAUAUCUGAAAGUGACUGUGCCUGGUAGAUGAUUAAUAAUAACUUUUUUUACGGAGUCUCGCUCUGUCACCCAGGCUGGAAUUAAGGGGCACCAUCUUGGCUCACUGCAACCUCUGCCUCCUGAGUUCAAGUGAUUCUCCUGCCUCAGCCUCUUGCAAUAACUAUUUUUAAAAUAAUAAAGUGACAACAUUAAUAAUAUUAACUUUGUAGCAACUAAAGUAUAGCUAAAGAGAAUAUGUUCUCAUGCUAGCAAAAGGUCUCCUGAUCCAUUCUUUUAUGUCAUGUUAUAAAGGUAAUUUGAUUCCAAUGUGAAAAAUUAUUUCACUCCAGCAGGAGUUCAUAAGACAAAACCACAUUUAACAUGUAACAUAGGGCCUGAAUGUUCUUCCCCCAAAAUGAGGCCCUUUCAGCGUAUGGUAUUUUUGCUGGUCAGAUUACACUGGGUAAUCAGAUACAAAUUGGAAAAGAAAAUGUAAAGAUCACAC